UACGGAGGGUGCGAGCGUUGUCCGGAAUCACUGGGCGUAAAGGGCGCGUAGGUGGCCGAGCAAGGUCGCGGUGAAAGCCCGGGGCUCAACCCCGGGUCGGCCGUGGCAACUACUUGGCUGGAGCACUGUAGGGGCGGGUGGAAUUCCGGGUGUAGCGGUGGAAUGCGUAGAGAUCCGGAAGAACACCGGUGGCGAAGGCGGCCCGCUGGGCAGGAAGACCUCGUAAGAGGUCGGCUGACACUGAGGCGCGACAGCGUGGGGAGCAAACAGG
rnacentral:rRNA from 2 species